rnacentral:lncRNA from 1 species
AAGCCUGAGAAUUUGGGUCUCUGAGGGAUAGAGCACAGCCUUUGCAGCUUUGCAGAACAGGAAAGCGGGCUGCUCAGCGUUACACACCCCCCCCCCUUCCCCUGCACGUGUACACCUCCCCUAGGGCGCUCGCCCAGUGCGCUUCUCCCUUCCCCCAAGAGAGGCUCAACUACUGACCAAUAUAAUCCCCUUUCCUUGCCUCCCCGCAACCCCCUUCCUCUCUCUCUCUAACCCUAUGGAGCCAAAAUGAGUCCUCAGCUUCUUGUGAUUGCUAUAAGGUGGAACAGGUUAUGGCAUCAGCAAGGACUCUCAGAACCAGGGUUUCUGUAGGGCUCUCACACGGGUCCUGGUUCCCCGAGACCCCCUAAUCCCCGCAGCGACACAAGGCGGUCAUCACUACCACCCGGAGGUCUCCAAUGUACAAGCAGCUUAAUUGCUCGCUCAGUGCUAAGAAACAGACUUGCACCAAGCCAACCGACGCCCGCCGGGACCAGUUCCUGCCAGGCUCUCUGGGUAACCUAGGGACCUGUGUGGCGGGGUCGCAACACCGACCUAUGAAACGCUGGUAAUCUGACUGAGGGAGAAACCCCGCAGUUCUGAGGCUCUGCUGCCAACAGUUGGGAGCUUUUGAUGUUUUGCAACCUCACAGCUUCGCAAGGCUUUCUGGUUUGGGUUUGUUUUCCCACCUCCCUUCCUUUCGGCUCUCUAGUGUAAGCCGCUUUUAAAAUGUGGGCGCAGUGAAAUUUCCGAAGAGCAGUGGAGGUGUCAUCCAGAGGCAAAUAAGCGGAGGGGACCUCUAUCAGGAAGGAUCUCUAACUCAGACUUCCCUGUCGGUUUUCUAUCCUGUGCUGAUUUAGGGGUUAACUCCUCUUAAAACCAUUUUUGGAUCAAAGCCAACUGUGUUUAAUUAAAUAAAUACAUACCCGCCAUUUGUGG